rnacentral:rRNA from 1 species
UUGACUCACGCGGGAAAUCUUACCGGGUCCGGACACACUGAGGAUUGACAGGCAAUAUUAAUUUCGCUCCGGCGAUUUUAUGUUAAAUAUGCUAGUCCUUUCAUGAUUAUGUGAUAGGUGGUGCAUGGCCGUUCUUAGUUCGUGGAGUGAUCUGUCUGCUUAAUUGCGUUUCACUAAGGGCCUAUAAUUUAACGUGUGUUGCGGCACUUUGACCCCUCUUCGCGGAGCGUGCGUCUUAGCUUGUUUAGCUCACACAAUUAGGUCCUGAAAGCAACGAACGUGACCGCAACCUCUUGUUGCCUUUAUACCAAACACAGUCUGACCUUCUUCUCGAAGGGCUGCCGUGAAAAAAGGCUUUUUAAACUAGAGGGACCGCUGUUACUUUCUUAAACCAGAGGAAGGUUGCGGCAAUAACAGGUCUGUGAUGCCCUUAGAUGUUCCGGGCUGCACACGUGCUACAAUGAUUAUUGCAGUGAGCAUCUCAUUUUUUACACACCGCAUUCACGAGUCCAUUUAUUCAUUCCCUCGGGUUUGCUUUAAAUGUGCAUCUCUGUGAGCGGUAAAGCCUGCUUCGAAAGUAAGUGGGUAAUCAAUUAGAAGUAAUGAUUUUCYUUUUUUUCAGCACACAUAUAUACGGCGUUUAUACCCGGGCUGUCCUUGUUGAUAGCUUUUGUGUGUAUAGAUGUUUUUUCCGUAUGUGCAAUUGUCAAUUCAUGGUGGGGACAGA